CCUACGGGAGGCAGCAGUGAGGAAUAUUGGUCAAUGGCCGUAAGGCUGAACCAGCCAAGUCGCGUGAAGGAAGCAGGAUCUAUGGUUUGUAAACUUCUUUUAUAGGGGAAUAAAGGUAUCCACGUGUGGAUAUUUGCAUGUACCCUAUGAAUAAGCAUCGGCUAACUCCGUGCCAGCAGCCGCGGUAAUACGGAGGAUGCGAGCGUUAUCCGGAUUUAUUGGGUUUAAAGGGUGCGUAGGUUGUUUUUUAAGUCAGCGGUGAAAGUUUGUGGCUCAACCAUAAAAUUGCCGUUGAAACUGGAAGACGUGAGUGUGUUUGAGGUAGGCGGAAUGCGUGGUGUAGCGGUGAAAUGCAUAGAUAUCACGCAGAACUCCGAUUGCGAAGGCAGCUUACUAAGCCAUAACUGACACUGAAGCACGAAAGCGUGGGGAUCAAACAGGAUUAGAUACCCUAGUAGUC
rnacentral:rRNA from 1 species